CAAUAACAUCAUUUCGUGGAAUUUUCUUUUUAUGAAAUUGUACCAUGAAAAUUUAAUUGAAAUGGACAGAUUUAUUUAUUUUGCUGUAGAAUAGAGAUAAAUAUAUUAUAUUUGAAUCUUUACCUUCGUUAACUGGGGAUUUUGAUGUCGAAAAUUGAGAAUAUCUGGCAGUAUAAAUAAGUUGGUCGUAACUCUGAACAGCCGUUUUUUGUGUAAUACUGCGUUUGCACUAAAGGUAGAUACAUUGCGAUUUUACUGGUUGUCGAUAAUAGGUCGUUAUCAUUAUAGAAUUAUACAAAUAAUCACUGUACACUUAUACAAAACACUAUAGGUUAAUUCAGAAUAUUGUAAAAAAAUAAUUGCCGUCGGGUAUUUGAUCUUUUUGCACUCAAAACCUCGCAAUUAAUAUAUAUAUAUCUUAAUCCAACUUUUGUCAUGAUCUGAUUGUGAAUAAUUUUCUGUAUAGUAAGGGUAUAUAGUGCGUUUUUUGUGUAGUUACUGUGGUCUAUUUUCAAGUGUAUCAAUAAGUGAUAUAAUAGCCAUAUAUGGAGUUUCGGUGCUUUUCCCUCUUUUUUCAGUUCCCAAAACGGAAAAUGAAAAGAAAAUAUCGUGUUUUUCCAAAACAAUGAUAAAAGAGAGGCGGUGAAAGAUACUAGAAGAACAUUCAAAAUCCUGCGUCGAAAUCAAACUGACAACUAGAUGGCAAAAAAAUUUAAAAAGACUUACAGAUAAACAAUAGUUCCCGUCACUUAACAUAGAACACUAUUGAAUAAUCAAAACUACCAAAAACUGGGGUGGGGUAAUUUUAGGUGAUAUUGUAGGUUAAGCAGAUCAUGCAUCACAUGUGGCACCCGUGGUGUUGCUCAUAUUCGAACAAACCACAUUAUAAGUCUAAUUCGUUUGGUCACUUUCUGGAAAAGGGGACGACAUAGUAGUUCAAUACUACACUAGGAACAAAUUCGCUAUCAUUUGUGAAAAAGAUAAUCCUUAACAGUCAACCAACUCGAUACGGCGUCUGACAGACAUAUACUCCGUAUUAAGGUGCUGCUUGAUUGGUGC
rnacentral:lncRNA from 1 species